GAUGAACGCUGGCGGCGUGCUUAACACAUGCAAGUCGAACGGGAAUUAUUUUAUUGAAACUUCGGUCGAUUUAAUUUAAUUCUAGUGGCGGACGGGUGAGUAACGCGUGGGUAACCUGCCUUAUACAGGGGGAUAACAGUCAGAAAUGGCUGCUAAUACCGCAUAAGCGCACAGAGCUGCAUGGCUCAGUGUGAAAAACUCCGGUGGUAUAAGAUGGACCCGCGUUGGAUUAGCUUGUUGGCAGGGUAACGGCCUACCAAGGCGACGAUCCAUAGCCGGCCUGAGAGGGUGAACGGCCACAUUGGGACUGAGACACGGCCCAGACUCCUACGGAAGGCAGCAGUGGGGAAUAUUGCACAAUGGGGGAAACCCUGAUGCAGCGACGCCGCGUGAAGGAAGAAGUAUCUCGGUAUGUAAACUUCUAUCAGCAGGGAAGAUAGUGACGGUACCUGACUAAGAAGCCCCGGCUAACUACGUG
rnacentral:rRNA from 1 species